UACGAAGGGGGGCUAGCGUUGUUCGGAAUUACUGGGCGUAAAGCGCACGUAGGCGGACUAUUAAGUCAGGGGUGAAAUCCCGAGGCUCAACCUCGGAACUGCCUUCGAUACUGCGGGUCUCGAGUCCGGGAGAGGUGAGUGGAAUUCCUAGUGUAGAGGUGAAAUUCGUAGAUAUUAGGAAGAACACCAGUGGCGAAGGCGGCUCACUGGCCC
rnacentral:rRNA from 1 species